AAUAGAUACCCGGGUAGUCCACGCCGUAAACGAUGAGUGCUAAGUGUUGGAGGGUUUCCGCCCUUCAGUGCUGCAGCUAACGCAUUAAGCACUCCGCCUGGGGAGUACGGUCGCAAGACUGAAACUCAAAGGAAUUGACGGGGGCCCGCACAAGCGGUGGAGCAUGUGGUUUAAUUCGAAGCAACGCGAAGAACCUUACCAGGUCUUGACAUCUCCUGACCGCCCUGGAGACAGGGUCUUCCCUUCGGGGACAGGAUGACAGGUGGUGCAUGGUUGUCGUCAGCUCGUGUCGUGAGAUGUUGGGUUAAGUCCCGCAACGAGCGCAACCCUUGGUUCUAGUUGCCAGCAUUCAGUUGGGCACUCUAGAGCGACUGCCGGCGACAAGUCGGAGGGAGGUGGGGAUGACGUCAAAUCAUCAUGCCCCUUAUGACCUGGGCUACACACGUGCUACAAUGGAUGGUACAAAGGGCAGCGAAGCGGCGACGCAUGAGCGAAUCCCAGAAAACCAUUCUCAGUUCGG
rnacentral:rRNA from 1 species